UAUAACGUAACUUCCGGGUUCUCAGAACUCCGCAUUUGAUCGCUUAGGAACUUAUCCCCGCCAGCCACUUGGAGGCGCAGCGAUGGCUACCGAAGCGGAGGCAGGGCCGAGGCGGGGCAGGGGCUGGGACCUUGUCCAGUCCGCUCUUGAGGGCGGGAACCGGAAGUACUGUGGCAGUUUUCGGCUUGGGGCGGAGCCCUGGACGGGUCCGAGCUGCAGUCCAUCUGGAUGGAGACCACCAACUUUCAGGAAGUGACAGAGCUGGUGACCUGGCAGACGGUAGCCAAGUGCUAUCUAACCUGCCUCCGUAAUGGCUCCUCAGUGUGAGGAGAGACAAAAGGGGCGGCAGAAAAGACCACAGCUGAGGGGUGCCGAACUAUUUACAUUCACUCAUUCAGAAUACUGUUGAGCCCUUACUUUGUGUUUAGCCUUGGACUAGGUGCUGGAAUCACAGAGAUAAGUACAAUUCCGUCCUUGAAGGUCAUAAACCAGCGUGGGCAAUGGACCAGUAAACGUAUAAUUGAUGUUAGAAA